rnacentral:tRNA from 1 species
GAAAUUUAGGUUAAUCAAAACCAGGAGCCUUCAAAGCUCCAAACAAAAGUUAAACUCUUUUAAUUUCUG